GAAGUUACCCCCUAAGGAGAAACAGGAGAAGCAACUGCUGUCCGGGGAGGAUCAAAGGAGGCUUCACGGAAAAGAUGACCGUCGACCUGAAUGUUGACCCGCGGGACCAUUUGGGGUGGCAGAGAGUGAAGAGAUAUAUCUGACAGAAGGAAUAGCAGGUGGGGGCGUGGGAUAAAGAAAAACGGGUUCGAGGAACAACGGGGAGGCCCACGCGGCCGGAGCGAGGGGCACCAACGGCGCGGUGGGCAGGGCGCCGGGGAUACCACGGAGGCCUUUGGCCUCCCAAGAAGCCUGGGCCUUUCCCUGCUCACCAUGAGCAACCAGCGCUAUCUCUGAGGCAGGGACAGGAUGAUCAAAUCUCUGUUUUUAAGCGAAAAGCGAGGAGUUUAGAGGUGGGCGAACCAGGAAGAUGGCGGCGGCAGUGGAGCUGGGGGACGGAGUAGGCCCCGAAUCACAGACCGGACACCAGCCGCGCGGCCGCCGGGAGCAUGAGCUGCUGAUGACCCGGGGCGUCACCCUCUAAGGUUCCUACGUACGUGGCUGGUCGGUAGGGUCAUGUGCACAAGACGGGUGACUUUUAGGGUGAAGACUCCGAGUUCAGUUGGAGACAGGCCAAGUGUGAAGUGAGGUGUCCCACUCGCGGUGGGAAAGGACCGUCCCUCACCACAAUUAUCUGGCCUGCAACGUCAACAGCGACGAGGUCAAGAAGCCCAGUUCUAAGGGAACAGCUUCCUUUUUUGUUCUACGAAGGCUACUCACACUUCUCCGUCGGGGUAAGAACAGGAGAAGGAAGGAGGAGGCAUUCCACAAAUCCUUCGGGACGCUUUUUUUUGUUACUGUGAGACAGCGUGAGUGCAUACAAGCGGCAGGGAGGGGCAGAGGGAGAGGGAGAAGCAGACUCCCCGCUGAGCACGAAGCCUCAUGAGGGCCUCAAUCCCAGGACCCUGAGAUCAUGACCUGAGCCACCGGCAGACGCUUAACUGAGCCACCCAGGUGCCCCAGUACCAUGCUGUCUUAUUGUGACUUUGUAAUAUAUUUUUAUACCAGGAAGUGUGAUGCUUCCAGCUUUAUUCUUCUUUCUCAAGAGUGUAUUUGGUAUUUGGAUUCUUUUAGGAUUGCUUUUUCUAUUUCUGUAAAAAAAAAAAAAAAAAAAAAAAAA